CAAUAGCGUAUAUUAAAGUUGUUGCAGUUAAAAAGCUCGUAGUUGGAUUUCUGGUAGGAGCGACCGUGCCGAACUUGAUUGUUCGAGUAUUGUGUUGUCUUCAGCCAUCCUCGUGGAGAACUUUUCUAACAUUAACUUGUUGGGAUUGGGACCCGCGUCGUUUACUGUGAAAAAAUUAGAGUGUUUAAAGCAGGCAUUAGCUUGAAUACAUUAGCAUGGAAUAAUAAGAUAGGACUUUGGUACUAUUUUGUUGGUUUGCAUACCAAAUUAAUGAUCAGCAGGAACAGUUUGAGGAUAUUCGUAUGAACAUGUCAGAGGUGAAAUUCUUGGAUUUUGAUCAGACGAACUACUGCGAAAGCAUUUAUCAAGGAUGUUUUCAUUAA
rnacentral:rRNA from 1 species